AUAAUACUCCCUCCGUCCAGAAUUACUUGUCAUCAAAAUGGAUGUGUCUAGAACUAAAAUACAUCUAGAUACAUCCAUUUCAAUGACAAGUAUUUUUGGACGGAGGGAGUAGUAG
rfam:Triticum aestivum genome assembly, contig: Triticum_aestivum_CS42_TGACv1_scaffold_129501_2BL